rnacentral:pre_miRNA from 1 species
GGGUUGGUUGUGAGUGAAAGAGUUGGGACAAGAGAAACGCAAAGAAACUGACAGAAGAGAGUGAGCACACAAAGGCAAUUUGCAUAUCAUUGCAUUUGCUUCUCUUGCGUGCUCACUGCUCUUUCUGUCAGAUUCCGGUGCUGAUCUCUUUGGCCUGUCCUCGAUCUCUUUGUCUCAAUCUCUC